AACGGCCGUACCAUGCUGAAUAUACCGGUUCCCGUUAGAUCACCGAAGUCAAGCAUCAUUGGGCGCGGUCAGUACUUGGGUGGGUGACCACCUGGGAACACCGCGUGCCGUU